rnacentral:rRNA from 1 species
AACGAACGCUGGCGGCAGGCUUAACACAUGCAAGUCGAGCGCCCCGCAAGGGGAGCGGCAGACGGGUGAGUAACGCGUGGGAAUCUACCCAUCUCUACGGAAUAACGCAUGGAAACGUGUGCUAAUACCGUAUACGUCCUUCGGGAGAAAGAUUUAUCGGAGAUGGAUGAGCCCGCGUUGGAUUAGCUAGUUGGUGGGGUAAAGGCCUACCAAGGCGACUAUCCAUAGCUGGUCUGAGAGGAUGAUCAGCCACACUGGGACUGAGACACGGCCCAGACUCCUACGGGAGGGAGCAGUGGGGAAUAUUGGACAAUGGGCGCAAGCCUGAUCCAGCCAUGCCGCGUGAGUGAUGAAGGCCCUAGGGUUGUAAAGCUCUUUCACCGGUGAAGAUAAUGACGGUAACCGGAGAAGAAGCCCCGGCUAACUUCGUGCCAGCCGCCGCCGUAAAAC